GUUUAGUUUUUUUUUAAUCCCACUUCUCCCCCAUCUUCCUCCUUUCUUCUCCAUCUCCUCUUUCCCCCAUCUUCCUCUUUUCCUCUCCAUCUGCUUCAUUUUCUUCCAUCUUCCUCUUUUCAUCUCCAUCCUUUUCCUCUCCAUCUCCCUUCUUUCAGCACCACCUCCCCCUUUCCACUCUAUUUGCCCACACUGCAUUUUCCCCUUUUUCCCCCAAACCCAGAGCACCUGGGCUCUGCUAGUCUCCUCCCAUCCCAGGUGUGUCCACUUUGCCCUGCUUGCCCACUCCCCUUUAUAAUUGGCCUCAGGAAAGGCAGAAGCCCUAAGCUUGCCCAACUGGGCAGAGGGAUCCUUCUCCUGGCAUCACCGACAGUUUUUGUUCUGUGAAGCUGGAAACUGGAGAGGAUUUGCCUUCUGUGUGAAGGACAGGGAUGCUCCCUGUAAGUCUCUGCACGUGAGUCUGCUCAGAAAUCUCCGUGGUGCUGCUAUGCCUUGAUCCCCCACCACGACCAAUGGAUCCUGGCUCUUUUUUUAUGGAGACUCCCCACCGAGGUAGACGCUAGUUAAAAGGUUACUACCCAGCUGUGAAAUAUGUAGACAGGGUAACAGCUCAGUGCUAGAGUGACCUCAUAUCUCAUAUUUAUUGACUAAAUGUGGCUUGAACUAGUCACCACCAGUAAAAUAAACCACAGCCCCAUGUACUGCAGGAAUAUUCCACGGCAGACAGACUCCUGGUUCCUUCUCCCACUCUUUUCUUUCACUUGAAAUAUGGAUUUUGUUUUUAGAAAAAGGCAAAGUAA